GCUGCUGUAGCUCAGUUGGUAGAGCACGUCCUUGGUAAGGACGGGGUCACCGGUUCAAAUCCGGUCAGCAGCUCCA
rnacentral:tRNA from 1 species